rnacentral:rRNA from 1 species
AUUGAACGCUGGCGGUAUGCUUUACACAUGCAAGUCGAACGGAUUUUGGAGCUUGCUCCAAAGUUAGUGGCGAACGGGUGAGUAAUAUAUCGGAACAUGUCCGGAAGUGGGGGAUAACGUAGCGAAAGUUACGCUAAUACCGCAUAUGCCCUGAGGGGGAAAGGAGGGGAUCGCAAGACCUUUCGCUUUCGGAGUGGCCGAUAUCGGAUUAGCUAGUAGGUGAGGUAAAGGCUCACCUAGGCGACGAUCCGUAGCUGGUCUGAGAGGAUGGCCAGCCACACUGGAACUGAGACACGGUCCAGACUCCUACGGGAGGCAGCAGUGGGGAAGUCUUGUGCAAUGGGCGAAAGCCUGACGCAGCGACGCCGCGUGGACGACGAAGGCCCUCGGGUUGUAAAGGUCCUGUGGGGCGAGACGAAAGACAGCCAUUCGAAUAGGUGGUUGGUUGACGGUAUCGCCUUAGCAAGCACCGGCUAACUCUGUGCCAGCAGCCGCGGU